rnacentral:rRNA from 1 species
AGAGGUUACUGCUAUCGGAGUUCGAUUAAGCCAUGCGAGUCUAAAGGUUUCUUCGGAAACCUUGGCGGACUGCUCAGUAACACGUGGAUAACCUACCCUUGGGACUGGAAUAACCCCGGGAAACUGGGGAUAAUACCGGAUAGAUCAGGGAUGCCGGAAUGCACCUUGAUCCAAAGCUCCGGCGCCCAAGGAUGGGUCUGCGGCCUAUCAGGUUGUAGUGGGUGUAAUGUACCUACUAGCCGACGACGGGUACGGGUUGUGAGAGCAAGAGCCCGGAGAUGGAUUCUGAGACACGAAUCCAGGCCCUGCGGGGUGCAGCAGGCGCGAAAACUUUACAAUGUGCGAAAGCAUGAUAAGGGAACUCCGAGUGCCAGUAUCUAAUACUGGCUGUCCUUGUGCCUAAAACGCACAAGAUAGCAAGGGCCGGGUAAGACCGGUGCCAGCCGCCGCGGUAACACCGGCGGCCCGAGUGGUAGCCGCUAUUAUUGGGUCUAAAGGGUCCGUAGCCGGUUCGAUAAGUCCUCUGGGAAAUCUGGUUGCUUAACAAUCAGACUGCCAAGGGAUACUGUCGAACUUGAGACCGGGAGAGGUAAGAGGUACUUCAGGGGUAGGAGUGAAAUCUUGUAAUCCCUGGGGGACCAUCUGUGGCGAAGGCGUCUUACCAGAACGGGUCUGACGGUGAGGGACGAAAGCUGGGGGCGCAAACCGGAUUAGAUACCCGGGUAGUCCCAGCCGUAAACGAUGCUCGCUAUGUGUCAGGUACGGUGUGACCGUAUCUGGUGCCGUAGGGAAGCCGUGAAGCGAGCCACCUGGGAAGUACGGUCGCAAGACUGAAACUUAAA